UACAGAGGUCUCAAGCGUUGUUCGGAUUCAUUGGGCGUAAAGGGUGCGUAGGCGGCGCGGUAAGUCGGGUGUGAAAUCUUGGAGCUUAACUCCGAAACUGCAUUCGAUACUGCCGUGCUUGAGGACUGGAGAGGAGACUGGAAUUUACGGUGUAGCGGUGAAAUGCGUAGAUAUCGUAAGGAAGACCAGUGGCGAAGGCGGGUCUCUGGACAGUUCCUGACGCUGAGGCACGAAGGCCAGGGGGAGCAAAACGGGA
rnacentral:rRNA from 1 species